rnacentral:rRNA from 1 species
CAUUGAGGAAUAUUGGUCAAUGGGCGAGAGCCUGAACCAGCCAUCCCGCGUGCAGGAAGAAUGCCCUAUGGGUUGUAAACUGCUUUUUCGCAUGAAGAACAUCCCUGACGUGUCGGGGACUGACGGUAAUGCGUGAAUAAGCACCGGCUAACUCCGUGCCAGCAGCCGCGGUAAUACGGAGGGUGCAAGCGUUAUCCGCAUUUAUUGGGUUUAAAGGGUGCGUAGGCGGCACUUUAAGUCAGUGGUGAAAUCCUGCAGCUCAACUGUAGAACGGCCAUUGAAACUGAAGUACUUGAGUAAUCUUGAGGUAGGCGGAAUGUGUAGUGUAGCGGUGAAAUGCUUAGAUAUUACACAGAACACCGAUUGCGAAGGCAGCUUACUAAGGAUUUACUGACGCUGAUGCACGAAAGCGUGGGGAUCAAACAGGAUUAGAUACCCUGGUAGUCCACGCCGUAAACGAUGAUAACUCGCUGUUGGCGAUACACAGUCAGCGGCUUAGCGAAAGCGUUAAGUUAUCCACCUGGGGAGUACGCUCGCAAGAGUGAAACUCAAAGGAAUGACGGGGCCCGCAUAAGCGAGGAACAUGUGGUUUAAUUCGAUGAUACGCGAGGAACCUUACCCGGGCUUGAAAUGCAUCUGACCGACGAGGAAACUUGUCUUCUAGCAAUAGCAGAUGUGUAGGUGCUGCAUGGUUGUCGUCAGCUCGUGCCGUGAGGUGUCGGCUUAAGUGCCAUACCGAGCGCACCCCUAUCAUUAGUUACUAACAGGUUAAGCUGAGGACUCUAGUGGGACUGCCACCGUAAGGUGUGAGGAAGGUGGGGAUGACUUCAAAUCCGCCCCGGCCUUACGUCCCGGG